AGGCCACUGCUAUCGGGGUUCGAUUAAGCCAUGCGAGUCGAGAGGUGCAAGACCUCGGCAUACUGCUCAGUAACACGUGGACAACCUACCCUAAGGAGGGGGAUAACCCCGGAAAACUGGGGAUAAUACCCCAUAGAAUACAGAAGCUGGAAUGCUCUGUAAUUGAAAGGUCCGCCGCCUUAGGAUGGGUCUGCGGCUGAUUAGGUUGUUGUUGGGGUAACGGCCCAACAAGCCUGUAAUCAGUACGGGUUGUGGGAGCAAGAACCCGGAGAUGGAUUCUGAGACACGAAUCCAGGCCCUACGGGGCGCAGCAGGCGCGAAAACUUUACAAUGCGGGAAACCGUGAUAAGGGAACCCCGAGUGCCCGUAAAUUCGGGCUGU
rnacentral:rRNA from 1 species